rnacentral:lncRNA from 1 species
ACGAGUUUUAAGGAAAAAUGAUAAAGUGUAUUGAUAGUGGAGAAAAAUAUGUUAUAAUUAGUAUUGGGAGUGGUGAAAAGGUGAAAAAGUGUUAUAAUUAGUAUUGGGAGUGGUGAAAAAGUGAAAAGUAAAAAUAAAUAAAGUAUUAUUAGUGGUGGGGUAGUUGUCCAAAAUGGAAAGAAAGAAAGAUGAACUUAUUUGGGGGACGUCCCAAAAAGAAAAAAGAUGAACUUAUUUCGGGGACGGAGGGAGUAUUAGUUAAAUUUUUAUCUCUUAAAUAUUUUUGUCUAUAAUGAUCAUAUAUGUUCAAUAAAUAUAAAUUCAGUAAACAUAAAUAAAAUUACUAAUUCUAUUUAACCGCCUCUACAUAUCUGAUUAUAUUUAGAGGUGGUCUCCUGUGAAACCGUUUUUUUUUUUAAAUCACCUUCACAAUGACACUACUUCAACAUACAAAUAAUAUUUUAUAAUAAUAAAAUAUCAUUUAUAUGUUGAGGUAGUGUGAUUGUGAAGGUGAUUUUUUUUAAAAAAAAAAAAAUCGGUUUCACAAGAAUUUUUGUGUUAUAUUUAUUCUAGUGUAGAUGGAGACUCGUAGCCAGAUAAGAUGAAGAAGGAAAAUUUUACAACUUUUUUUUUUUUUAAGAAAAACAAGUUAUUUAGUUACUUUGUUAGUUAAGUUAUUAAUCUUACUUUGUUUCUAAUUUUGUCUAUUUGAGCACGACAUUACUUUUAAACAAUGACAUGAAGAGAUUUGAUUGCGUCGAGGUGUUUUGGAAGGAUUUGCAACAAUUUUGACGAAGUUAUUUAUUAUUUAAUUAACAAUUGUGUCUUUUAUCUUAAAAAAGAAAACAAUUGUAUUUUUGGUUACCAAAUUGAAUCAGCCUAUCAUGUAAUCAAAUAAUUGUCGCAUUAGUGACUUAAAAGGGCUAACACAUAACACAUAUUUUUGUCGUUCAAAUAUAUGGUCAGGAUCCUGUAGUAUCAUUCCCUUGGGUAAAAUUAGGACUUCCUCCGUCCCAUUAUAAAUAUCACACUUUCCAUAAUGGAAAAUUUCAUUACAAAUGUUUCAUUUCAUUUUUGACAAUAUAUAUAUUUUUUUAUAUCUAAUAUUUAAAUAAUUUUCACCAACCCACUUUAUCUACAAUCUACACAUUUCUUAAUCUCUAUGCCCAAAAGUAAUGAAAUAUUGUAAUGAGACGUAAGAAGUACAAUAUUAUCAAUAUAGAGUAUAUUUUUUUGUAUAAAACAUAAUCCAAUAUUUCGUCUCACCUCUUUUUGGUAUGGAGAUUAAUGAGAAUGUGUAAAUUGAAUAAAAGUGGUAAGAGCACACAUUUUUAAGGGGACGAUCCAUCUUUAAUGGGACGAUCCAUCUUCUCACUUCUUUAUGAAAAUGAACCAUCUUUAAUGGGACGAUCCAAAAUGAAAAACUUGUCAUUUUUAAUGGGAUGAAGGAAGUAUAUAAAAGGGGUUUUGACAAAUAAAAUCAUGAACUAUUUCGAAAUUGUAAUUUUAACGUGACUUUUGUAUUAUGACAAGUUAAAUAACCAUCUUUUCAAUUUUUGCAAUUUCUUUCCCUCAAUUCUUUUUCGGUCACCAGAGUGUUGAAUUAGAGCUUAUAUGGAUUAGUAAAACGACGUCGUUUUUGUGAGGUUUAAACGACUCCGUUUUGUAUAAUUUCAAUUCAAAUUUUCUCCAGAUUAUAAAGGGGUUGUAUCCUAUAUUUACACCAUAAUUACAAUAUUCAACAAUUUUAUAGAAAAUGAUGUCGUAACAUGAAUAUUACAUGAUGAACAAUCUUGGUAAAUUCUAACUCAACAAUCCGACGAUUGAAAAAAAUUAGGGGACAAAAUUGUAAAAGUUAAAAAGAUGAUUAUUUAAUUUGUCAAAAUUCAAAAGUCAUAUUAAAAUUACAAAUUUGAAAUAGUAUGUGAUUUUAUUUGCCAAAACCCUAUAUAAAAUUAGAGGGUGUAUGAAUUUUUGUUGGGUAGGGUAGGCCCAAAUCCAAUAUUUGGUAUGGCUGGAGCUCGCCCAACCUUAUCGGGCCAAGUUAAAUAGCGGACUGCCUUCUCACGGGCCAAUCCAUAAAAUGGGCCUCGCCAAAUGUUUAAUUUGGACAUGUGAGAAAUUCUACAAUAUAAUAUCAAUAACAGUUGUUUUCUCAGUGAGAGUUGCAACUUAAAAAACAAACAAACAAAAAUGAGAUUUUUUCUCUUUUUCAUAAUUUUAUACUCUAUUUUUGUAGUGUAUAUUUACCUAUAGAUGGUUAAUGUCUAAGGUCUGCGAUCCUCGAUUCGACUACAUCGUGGUGCGGUUAUUAAAUUUCUUUAUUUAAUUGUGUAAUUAUAAAAAAGAAGAGAGAUUUUUCCAAAAUCAAAUCACUCUCAUUGUAGCAACCUUCAUCUCGUUUUUAGCACAGAUCGCAUUUCUUUAAUCUCAAUCUUCAAGCGCAACUUCAAUGUCUCCAAUAAAUCAAAGAUAUGAUACAUACUUGUCUAAAUGUAUGUCAUGGAAUUGCAAUAUCUACAUAUAUGUACGAGUACUGAUAUGCAUCUGAAAAUUUGAAAUAGCUCUUGCGCUGAAGUCUAUAUUCAAUCACACACACACACACAAAAUCUCCCUGUUUGGGAUAGUUUGAAGGUUAACUGAUAACAUAUUUCAAAGAUGUAAUAAUUUCUUGAGAGAGAAGCAAUCACAGCGUGUGCUGUUGGUUGAAAUGUCGCAUAUCAACGACCUAGUGUCCAACGCCGUUGGAAGUCAUCAUGUACAGUGUCACAAAUCUCUAUAAAAUAAUCGCAUUUGAAAUAUGUGAGCUAUACAAAUUGUCAAAUUUUCUGGUGGAUUGGAUGUAUCACGCGCGUUAAUUGAAUCUGCAUAGGAUUCAUCGACACCGGUUGUUCUAACUUUUAAUUGAAAGUUGCAGGUUAAUUGACUACAAGUUAGUAUUUUUCAUCUGCUAUCAAACUGCAUUACACGUUUACACUUUUUUGAACGGAUUGAACUCUUUGCUAACAGUAAUCACAAAUGCUGAUAAGAAUGGAUGAAGAAGAGUCAAAAGAAGAUGAAUUCUUUGCUUGGAUAUUAGGUAAUUGGGGGCCCCUUUAGAUCUCAUCGCCUCAUGUUUUAUGUAGCCUUUUAUUUUAUGUACAGUUAGCUGAGUGUUGGACAAGUUCCUUUAACACACAACCACAUCUUUCUCUCUCUUCUCUUGUGCCUUUUUAUUUGUUGUUUGAAGGCUGCAUGCACAUGACGUAGAUGAGUUGAAUUUUACAUUAAUGUAUAUCUUGUGUAUGGUGUUGUUAGGGUUCAGAGCUAGGUGUUCAAUUUACCCAAUUUACUUGUUAUAAUUCAGCUUCUUCAUAAAACUGCAGCUUUUUGCAUUCAUAAGUGAUUCCAACAUUGUAUAUGUACUUAUCGAAUGUAUGUUGAGAUGAGAUUUGGAGUGAAGCAGUUGAUCAUCCCAACCAAACAUUAACCAAUGAAUUUUUUUAAAAAAAAUUAGACGAGUACAGUAGUUGAUCAUCCCAACGACGAAAUCUGAAUUAAUAAUAUAGUAAACAUUAACCAAUGGAAAAGUAGAGAAUUUAAUAGGAAAAGAGGGGAAUAAACAAUAUUAUCUGCAUUCCAUUAACUGAGGAGAAGAGAAGGGGACCAAACAGUAAAGAGCAAACAAAUUGGAUUUGUAGAUAGUGUUGGUACAGUACAGCUGUAGGGCAAAGAUUUUUGCAGACAGUAUUUUGGGAAUUCGGCUGUGCCUCCUCCUCGAUUCCCAUCUCCUUCUCUCUCUCUUCCAAUAUUUCACUUUUUCACACUUUGUGUGUUUUUUGGGUUUUACAUGUAUUCUCCGUCCCUGAAAUAAGUUUCUCUUUUUCUUUUUUGGGAUGUCCCCAAAAAAAUUCCUCUUUUUUUCUUUUCAUUUUUGAACAACUAUCCCACCAUUAAUAAUAAUACUUUAUUUAUUCUUACUUUUCACUUUUUCAUCACUCCCAAUACUAAUUACUCCCUCCGUCCCACUAGACUUGGCACUUUUGAGUUGGGCACGGAGAUUAAGAAUAAAGGGUUAAGAGUGUAAAGUAGGUAGGGUCCACUUAUUUUAUGUGAGUAGAGAAAAUAGGGACCACAUACUAUUUUAGGAAAGUGCCAAUUCUAGUGGGACAAACAAAAAAGGCAAGUGUGCCAAGUCUAGUGGGACGGAGGGAGUAUAACAUUUUUUCACCUUUUCACGUAUAACAUAUUUUUCUCCACUAUCAAUACACUUUAUCAUUUUUCCUUAAAACCUGUGUCGUCCCUAAAGAGGAACUUAUUUUGGGGACGGAGAGAGUAUAUUUAAUUACUUGAUUUUAAAAUCAAAAGUUGAAAGAGUGUAGAUACAAAAUAGGGGUGGGGUUGGCGUGUAGUGCAGGUGCAAUCCGGCAUAAGCGCCACAAGCAAAGCCAGACGAGACCACUGACAGACAAAAGAGAAAACACGCUGCCACACCAUCACUCUGUGUGUGAAUCUACACCGCCACUGCGUGUGAAUCUGCCUCGCUCGUGCAACUCCUUCCUUCCUUCGCACCCAACAUCGUUUGUAGCAGCAAAGCAAAGCAACGCAUACCCGCCCACUAUUAUCUGGUGAGUUUGAGUUUGCGUUUUGUGUUUCUUGCUUUCUUCAACUGCUUCGUGUUGAUUUAUUGAAUUGAAUGGGGUGUUUGAUGAGGGUGCAAUGUACGUUUUUUUAUUUUAUUUUGUUAUUCCACGGGCUUCCUCAACUCUUUAUUUUUUUGGAUUCUUGAAUGGGGAAGGGGGC